rnacentral:lncRNA from 1 species
GAGUGGCUGGACUGCAGAUGGAAUGUGCAUCGUCAUCACAUUAUGAUUAAUUCUACGUUGCAGACGAGAGUCGAGUCUUGUUCAUAGGAGAUGCUCCCAAAGACUCCCAAGAUAGCCAUCUCAGACCCACUUAAAAUCUGCUGGCGACUCUGGUCAUUUUGAAGCGUGUGUUUUGAAAGUGUGAGCUUUCCGACGGCUGCGCUCUGGGAACAACAGACGAGGAGGCACACGGUGAUCUCACCUAUUGGAAGAGACACAAGAGAAAACUGCACGUGAGCGUCACUGGAAGGUAUUUUAAUAAGAAACACAGUGGGGAGACUCUGGGGAGUCAAUCCUUGGCAUCACGUUUCACCACUAACGAAGCAACAGAGAAUUCCGCACAACUGGAAGGUCACUCAAAU